rnacentral:lncRNA from 1 species
GCUGUGCUAAUCAUGCUCUAUACUUAAAGACAAGGUUUACAUAGGAUUUGAAUAUCAACCACCGGAAAAGAUUUAUAUUGCGACAAAAAUAUGUGGAAUUUUAUUCUGAGUAGAAGCAUCAAUUAAUUACACAUGAAUUUUUGUACUAAUCUACAAACUAUGCCAUUGUGUCUAUUUAUUUAUUUCGCAAUGUUGAUAUAUAUCAAAAUGCAAACACAGCAACCUAUGAUUACAUUUUUGAGAAAUUUCCAAACGAACAAUUUCAAGUCCAUAUUUACAAACAUACAAUUCAUGGGGAGAUAAAGAUAUAGAUCAAAUCAACCCAAACUUAGAUUUAAGACAUGCAACAUUAAUAAAAAUUAGAUCCAAAAACACUUGAACCACUAGCCUCUCAUAUUACAAUCAAAACACUCUUGCCAAAUCCUGAGCAUACGGAUCUUGAAGAACACCAACGUUACAUGAAAUACGACAUUAUUGUCCAAUUGCCAGUAUCUACAGCCACUGGCUACUUGGUUACUGCAAAACAUGGCCAUCAACCACUUUUACCUCCAUGAACGGAAAUUCAAAAUCCAGAAUCUCAGCAACAUGCGAGAUACUCUCAUUCACAGGCUGGGUGAAAUAUAUACAUAUAUAUAUAGUAGUGAUCUUUUGAGAGAUGAAACCAUUUUAAUUCUGAAAUAGUUGAAAACUAAUUAAUCAAGAAACUGACAAGAGAAUCAUAUACAGUUAUCAACUGCAGAAACAAUCAGAAAAAGAACAUAAUAGUAACAUUUACACCCAAUGGUUCUUCUACCUGACAGCACAAGCCAAAAAUUAACUUAACAAAUACUACCUCCCAUCCAAAAUUAGAGAUAUUUUUGACUUAAUGAAGCAAAAUUUACAACAUAUUGACGUAUAAUUGUUAAAGGCUUAAAACAACAAAUAUAUUGAUUAGUAGAACUUCUUUAGAUAGUUUAAAAUGGUUAUAUUUGUUUAAACUCUAAACGAAUAAAUUCGUAUGUAUUAUGUAUUUUAAAUUUUAGAUUUUUGCAAAUCAACUACAAAAAGUCAAAAUGUAUCUUUAAAUUGAUGUAGUAAUGGAUUGUGAAUUAUAAUAAACUGUAAAUUUUCACCAGUUAGAUCUACAACUGAAUUCCUAGGGCAGAGAUUGUCCAUUAGUUUUGCACAUUACAAAGUGGUGUGCCUCCAACGAACUAAAUAUGGAGGAAGCUAACAACCUGAUAAUUUAAAUGUCAGGAAAUGACUUUUUAAAAAUAUAUAUUGAUUCUUUUCAUGCAUCAUACGUAUGUAAAUAUACAUAUUAUACAGGAAAGAAGUGGACAGAUACAAUGUGUAAUAAUUACUUAUAAGAAUAAGAACGCAAAAAAAAUUGUUACCUAGUAUUUAAGAUAGCAAAGUAAAGGAAUUUCAUUGUGAUCUUUUAGGCUUUAGCUAAAGCUUGUCUUUAUAACAAGGUCAAAAGAAGAGUAAACCAUCUUACUUUUUCCCCACUAAAUGCUGCACCUUGAAACUUAUACAUGAGACAGAGGCCCCCACUCACGAAAAUUUGUUCGAUUGCAAUACAAAACAUGUGAAAGGAUGCUUCAAAUCUUCCUUCUACCAUUUCGAGAUGCAGAAGAGUUUUAUCCCUUCACACCUUCAUCCAUCUGCGAAGGCCUAUCAGAUUCAUGUCUAACAGCAUUAAAAGUAGAACAUAAUUAACAACUUUUUGUUCCAGAAUAAAAUGUUAGUACCACAAGUUUAGAACAAUAGUUGCCUAGCCCCUUCAAAUUCAAACAGGAGCAAAAUAUAUGCUCACUAUCACACAAAGUGGCACUCGCAAAAUUAAGAAAGUUUCAAUUUGUUUCAAUUUAACAAAAUUUACGAACAUACAAAUUUAUUUUUUCCACUGUGCUUUUAGUUUAGGAGCUUUUAACAUGAUAAUGAAAUUAUAGUACUCCCUUCGUUCCUUUCCUUAAUAUAAGUCUGUUUUAGAGAAAUAUUUUUGUUCCUUAAUAUAAGACAGUUUUAGAAUUUCAAGUAAGCAUUAAUUGCUUAGUUUCCAAUAUUACCCCAAGUAUUAAAUAUAACUUUGGUUCUCUCACUAUUUUUUGUCUAAUAAAUAACAAUCUCUUCUUCCGAUACAAGGGCAAAAUAGACAAUUGAUAUUAUAGUUAAUGUUAUACAAUCAUUUCCUUAAUACUUGUGCACAACUCUAAAACGACCUAUAUUAAAGAACGGAGGGAGUAAUAAACUUGAAGAAGUCUGUCAUUUAAUUCUACGACUCAAAUCAAUUGCACUUUUUGAAAUAAACAAAGAGCAAAAAAAUUGGAACUUUUUGGGGAUGGGAUGAAUACAUAACAAUUAUGUAGAGACCAAAAUCUCUUUUUGCUAAACAGUUUUAUUGCUCUUGCAAUCUGCUAAAUGAUUAUCCAAUGAUGCCAAAAAAUAUCAAAGAAUCACAAUUUUACAAUGUUAACACAAAAUAGAUUUUAUAAUAAUAAAAUAGAAAUUUGAUUAGAUAAAAAUUAUCUUAUAUUACUGUGAGUGGUUAUCAAAAUUUGUCUUAAUAAUGCUUAAAAAAAUUAAAGGCAGUAUAUUAACAAUGCGUGUACCUUUUCCCUGAAUUAAGAGCCUUGGUUAUUCAUAUAUGUUGAUUUCUGAUUUUGUAGUUGUAACAAUGUUGAUUAUGUAGGAGGAGAAGGAAGGAAUGGACACCAAUCGCAACAGACAAGGAAAACCACACACCACACCACCAGAGGAGAGAACCUGGGUUAAAAAGCCCCGUGCUUUCUCCCCUCAAAACCAAAAUAUAUCGUUUAUUAUAUUAAAAUUUUGAUGACCUGCCAUGCAAGCGCACCUGUCAUGGCAAAGGCCGUAUCACAUCAUAACAGAAUCCCUUUUCCCCAAUUGUCUACCCAUAACAGAACCCCUUUUCCCCAACCCAAAAUACAAACCCUUACAAGCUAAAUCCAAUUUCGCAAGAUUCCAAGUUAUGAAAGAUUAGGGUUCGUCGAUUGUCUACCACCAGGAAACAUCACAACGCAGCGCCUGCGACGAAACAAUCCCAUCUUAUUCUGAAUUGAAACCUGCAGAAAAACUUCUGAUACCUUUCAUAGAUGACGAAACAACUAUAGAAAAUAUAACAAUAAACAAAAAAUCAAAGUAUACGGUAGCAAUCGAUAAACCUCUAGUACCAAAUUCCGUCGGUUUCAAAGCGCUGGUCUAAACGAUAAAGGAAAGGCAGGUACGUUGUACGGCAUAAUGUGUUUCUACCGGUAUAUAUAGGAUAGUUGGGGAGAGCGAACGGCUAGGAUUGAGGGAAUGAAUUAAGGAUCAACGGUGGUAAAUUAACCUAUUAGAUUGAGUCGUUUUCUUGCGUUUCGUUUAACCGGUUGUAGACGCUGUCAAUGAGCUGGCAAUUUAGACAUUAACGAAUAUAAAUUGAACACAUGUUAAACUAAUCUUCCGGGCACGUUUAUGUUUGUUUCGUCCAUUCCAACGACAUUUAUCCUAAACUGGACUCAGAACUGGCUCGGCCCAGUUACCUAUGGGCCUUCACGUAAGAGCCUUGACAGCCUAAUCCCAAAAUUCCUUUUUGUUUUAUAAUUAAAAUAAUUUUCGGUGCACAACUUAAUUAAGGGACCGUUUCAUAAAAUUGAAUUCUGAAUAUUUAAUUAAUCUGAAUAAAUUAAAUAAAAAAAAUUAUUUAAUAAUUAAUAUAUCUGAAACAUCUGAAUAACAGUCUUUUAUUAUUUUACCCCUCUUAAAUUAUUUUAGUUUCUUACUUCAUAUGCCUAUUUAAAAUUUUUAUUUUUUCUUAAG